GCGCCGGUGGUGAAGUGGUUAACACACUAGGUUGUGGCUCUAGCAUUCGCGGGUUCAAUUCCCGUUCGGCGCCCCA
rnacentral:tRNA from 1 species